UAAACAUUAUGUGUUGUUUGCAUAAUUAGAUUAAAUAAAUAGUUACAAAAUAAAAAGAUUGAAGAAUAAAAGAACUAAAGUAUAAAUAAAAAAGUUUCACUCUAUUAUAUAGUAAGAAAUAGAGUUACUCCAAAUAUAUAGUAAGAAAUAGAGUUGCACUAUUUUGUUAAACAUAAUUAUCUGUUGUCUCUUUUGUCUGAGAAUUAAGAUUCGUUCCUAGGACAAUCGGAGUUCUGCUGUUAGUUUGUUGCUGAGUUCACGCUUUGAUUCUAUGGUCUAUCUUUCUGUAUCUGUUUAUGUAAAAUUGAUUUUCCAAUAUAUCUCGAGUUCUUAUGUCAAAUUGAGCUUUGAGAACUUAAUCGCUUAGCUGAUCUGAUCUAAAAUUUUCACCAGAAUGCUAAUGCAUUAUCUCAUUGGCUUGAGUAGUAGUUCUACAUUUCUGUUUGGAUGUUAAGUGUUAACUUAGAUCGUAAGGUUUAGCCGUCAAAAAAAGAGACAACCAGAUGUAUUUGGUGUAGGGUUCAUCUUCACGGUUUGUGUGGGGUUUAACCAACUUCUUCCACCAUCUCAUUCGUUCACGAUUUGCGUGGGUUCUGUUCUCAUAUGAAAGUUUAUGUUUUGUGUUUCUGUUCUCACGGUUUUAUUUGGCUAUUACAAGAACGUAUUAUUAUUGUCUUGUUCAGACUUGAAGAAGUGUAUCUUCAGUUAUUUUUGUGCUUGAAUUUCAUGUAAUUGCAGAAAGAUGUUUGGUUAUUGAUUUACAGACUCUUUUUUUUUGUGAUUUUCUUGAAACAAAGUCUAAAUGUUUGUUUUUCACAGGAUAAUGGCGACUGCUCAAGUUACAGAGAAAGAGAUGAAUCCAAAGGAUGACGAUCAAUAUAAAGUUUGGAAAACACUCGAUCACCCCACAAAAUUAAAGCUGUUGCAUCAAAUCACCUGUUCAGUUCAUUUUACCGAUUUGCUGUAGCCGGUGGAAACAGGGUUACAAUUUGUGAGUUGCCUAAUGAUGCUUAAAAUAAUCAUGUUCUAAAUGAGAAAUCUUAUAUAGAUGAUAAGGUCGUUGAAUCGUUUUUGGCUGUCAACUGGGCAGUGAAAGACGAUACGCACUACAUACUUGUUGGAAGAUUAAUGUGUAUAAUCCAGUUUUUUUGUCGUUCGAACAAAUUUUACCUCUUCUAUUCUGGUGAAGACAAAUGUGUCAGAGUGAUGUAUCUAAACGGGUACCAUGAAGCUAAAAAGUGGACUAAGAAAAAUUACAAGACCCAAAAAGGAAAACAGGUUGGCGAGCCCAUAAGUCUUGAAAGGAUAUCAGUUUCUAGCAUUGACUGUGUCAGCUGUUUGCAAACGCAAGUGUUGUCACAGAUUGGUGAGGCUGGAUUGAUUGUGUGAAAGUUUAUCAUUCUUCUUUUGAGGAUAAGGUCAAACCCAUAUGACAUUUCCGUAUUAAAGAUGGUGGAAAUUCAAAGUUCGAAAUUACUGGUAUGCAUGGAAGAUUUGCAGUAGGAAACCGAAAGGGAGCUAUUUACGUCUUUGAUGUGGAUCGUUUUCAUUCAGUUGAACUAGUUGCCAUUUCACUAUAUCAAGAUUCAAAUAACCCUAUCAUAGAGACUGCAACUAGUUCUGAUGGAAGGCAUAAAUAAAUGUAAUUAAGUUUUAUAGUUUAUAAAUUCUGGGUUAUUACAAAUUGUCAAUUUCACUUUUUUCAGUGUUGUUUUUACUGUUAACGAAAGCGGAGCUGCUAGUAUUUGGAUUAACAAUAUUGAGUCUUCCACAUUGAAUGCUGAUGUUACUGCUACCACUACUCCUACAAAUGAUGAUGGAGUUGCAGUAGCUGAACCUAAGAGAAGAGAAUCGACCCGUACGAGACGACCAAACACGAGAUACAUGGGGUGUAACUGGUAACAACUAAAAGAAAUAUAUGAAAUGAUAUGAAUUAUUAUUUCUGAAAUUUAAUGGAAUGGAAUGGAAUCAGCAUUCCACUUAUUCCAAAACGUUUUCAAUUUGGAAUGAUUUUUCAAAUGAUAGUUAAUUUUUUUCUGGAAUGGUAUGGAAUGUUAUGAAAUGAAAUUGAAUACACGUUCCAUUUUUUUAUUGUAACUGGUGAUUUUUUUUGGAAUGCACUUGAAUUAAACAUUCAGGAAGUUUUAAUUCUAAAAAAUGCAUUCUAGUUGCAGCCAUGGAUUAUGUCGUUUAGGAAUUCACUUUAGGAAUUCACUUCCUCCACUUUUCCAUUUCACGUAUUUGUAAGAGCAUUGUUAUAUGUACACAUAUUUUCUAAAUAUAAUAUGUAAAAUUUAUAACAAAAAGAAAUGUUUUUUGGAGGACUAUAUUAGUGAUAAACUUUAAAAAAUAAAAGUUUACCGUUUAUAUUCUACUACAUUUCAGAAUAGAAUAUAAACGGUAAACUUUUAUUUUUUAAAGUUUAUCACUAAUAUAAUCCUCCAAAAAACAUUUCUUUUUGUUAUAAAUUUUAUCCCCUCUUUCUCUAUCAAAAAUACAUAUUUCUCUCCAUAUCUCUCUCUAUCAAUCUCUUUUUGUCUCUCUCUUAAAAAAAUAACACAAUCAUUAAAGAAUAUUUUGUCUUUGUUAUUGUGAAGUUUACACAAACUAUAUUCAUUAAUUUUUAAAAUCACUCACACAAAAGAAUUUCAUACAAAAUAUUUUAAGUAUUUUAAAUUUAUGGCUUUAACGAUAAAAUAAAUACCUGAAAAACAUUAGUUCAUAAUGUGAUUCCUUACUUUUUUUCAAUAUAUAAUCCUUUUCUCUCUCAUCGUUAACAUUUUAUUUUUUUGAAACAGAUUAAAAGGUAAAUCGUUUUAAUUCAUUGAUUAUCUUAUUACUACCACUAUUUUGACUUAUAUGGGAAUAUUUACUAAUUUAAUAUUUUAUCAUGAAAAUAUUUUAAUAUUUUCUUUAAUUUCUUUCUAUUUCACCUAUAUAUAUAUAUCAGUCUCUCGUUCAGUCUAGCUUUCUCUCUAUCUCUAAAUACAUCUUUCUCUCUAUAUCCAUUUUUUUCUCUCUCUUCCCUAUAAAAAUAACACAAAAACGUUAAAAUAAUAUUUCUUUUUUAUUGUGAACAUACAUAAACUACAUUCAUUAAUUUUUAAAAUCACCCAAACAAAAAAAAAUUCAUAAACAAAUUUUAAACGUUAUAAACUUAUGGAUUUGGUCGAUAAAAUAAAUAUCCUAAAAGCAUUACUUCAUAUGUGAUGACUUAGAGUUUAAAAUAUAAAAAAAAAACUAAAUUUAUUUUUCAAUAUCUGAUUUUCCUUUCUUUAGUUUCUUUCUAUUUCACUUGUUUCAUCUAUUUUAAUAUUCUCUCAGCAUCCGUCUCUCUCUCUAUCAUAAUCUUUAACUCCCUCUAUUUAACACACACACACACACACACACAUAUAUAUAUAUAUAUGUCAGUCUCUCUUUCGAUCCCCUCUUUCUCUGUCGAAAAAUACAUAUUUCUCUCCAUAUCUCUCUCUAUCAAUCUCUUUUUGUCUCUCUCUUAAAAAAAUAACACAAUCAUUAAAGAAUAUUUUGUUUUUGUUAUUGUGAAG